UAACCACCCCCUGAGAGCACCAUGUGCCACAGUAGCCAGCAUUGCACAGACAGGUGUGAUUUUCAUCUGUGCAUUUAAAGUAUAACUCUUCAGGUUUAGGUCUUCACACCAUUUUACCUUUGUUUUACUCCACUUAAAAUUUUAUAUCCAAAACUAUAAUGAACAAAUUUGUAUGAGCAAAGUUAUAUUAAUAUCCAGUAAUAAAGUCAUAGUAAGACUCUGAAUGCAAAACUACAUGAUCUGUUAAGUUUUUAAAUACAUGUAUGGCAUUAUCAACUGGUUGUAUAAUACAUAAUUUAUGCCAGAAUUAAUCUGACUCUAAGAGCAGUCUAGCUCACCAUAGAAAAAAUAUGGUUCAAUAAUUUCAAUAGUGUUCAAUUUGUAGAAUUAUAUACUUUAAAGAACAUGGAACAAUACUCUUCUGUGCUUGCUGUGUUUUGAGAGUGAUCAUCAAACAUAUUCACAGACUGCAGCAAAACCAUCUCAGGAACUUCCCUAUCCCACUGCUCUAUGUGCUGUCAGUGUACACGUUAGUUUACUGAGUUGUAUAGAAGUAACAACAGAAGAAUCUGUUUCCAGGAGAAUUAUCCUGGUUUAUAUUUAGCCUGGAUUGACCUAUUUCAGUGUGCAGUCACAUGCACACCCUUCUACCUGGCCUCAUCCUCCCUGUGAGCUGCUGAGUGUUCCUGUGGUCACAGAAUGCAAUGUGCAUGGAAGAACCUCUGAUGAAAGACAGCAGGCAAAGAUUUUAUGUCUGAUUCAAUAGGAAACAAAAAAAAAAAUCAAGUAGGAAAAGCAUAUGACACUAAAAUACACAAAUUAAGCCACUGUAUUCCUGCCAACAAAGCUGAGAGAACACACUUGUGGGUAACUUCAGAAUUCACAAAGAAAUGCAGCUGGAAUUCACCUGGAAAUCACAUUAGUCACAGCACCCAGCUCACAUUGCCUAAGGGAUUGGCUUUCUGGCCUUCCUAGUACCAGCACCUGAAAACAGGUUUUUGCUCUGUAGCAGUUCUGUGAUAUAUGAGAUUCUCAGACAUAUUUAAGUCAAAACUACCCUCCCCCUUGGUUUGGUUGGUGUUUUUUUAGGGUUUUAUGACUGUUUAUUGACAUCCAGGGCUGCUGUUCCCAAGAGCCACAGGCAGAAAAUGUAGCAUCUCUAAGUAUAGAGCUCCCAUAGAUAAAAAGUUAACAAUUAUCUGAAAAUGUAUGGACAAAACAUGUAAGAGAUCCAAUUCAAAUUGUAGAAUUGUAAAAUUAAAAUUCUACAAUUCAGUUAAUUCUGUCUCAAAGCAAACAUUAAAUUAGUAAAGAUCUAGAAAGAUGGGUGUUUCAUUCCUCUGAAAUAAGGUUUUUAUAUCACCUGAAGACUACAGCCCUAAAGUGUAGACAAUUUGUUCUCAGUUCAUUUUAGAAGACAAAACCCCAAAAGAACAAAUUUGAGUUUCAGAAAGAUUUACUGUACUCUGUAAGUAUGUGCUUUAUACAUUUCACCAUCAUGACAACUGAUAGUUAUUGUCAAGCAAACAUUAUUUCAGGAUACAAAGACACUGUUAUGUCAUUAUUAACAAAAUAUAUUUAAUAUUUGGUUUCAAUUUUCCUACUAUUUUCCCUUGCUUUCUUGUAGUGAGCCUGUUUGAUUAUUGGUUUGAUUAUUGGUCAAUAAUUAUUAAUUAUUGAUUACAGCUGUUUCCAGACAGCUGUCACCCCACUCUGGCAACCUCCCUGGUUUUGAAUCUGUGGUGCAAUUUACAGGUUUGCUAUUCAUACCUGUAAUAUAUUGCCUGUCUCUGUAGAUGAGAACAAUUUCAUCUUAUCCCCCAUAAAGGCUGUGGGAACUCAUAUAAAGAGGACAGUACAAAUAAUCUUUAUCCAUUAUGAUUUAUUCUCUACAAUACUUCAUUAGAGGAUAGAGUUCAAUUAUUUACACUCAGAAAUUAUUAUAUAGGUAGGAGGCAACCAAGUGUAAUAUAAAGAAUUGGUCUGACGUCUCUGCACUGUAGGUCAAAAGAGGUCUCCUGCUUUAAGGAAAUAAAUUAACCAAAAAAACCCCCAACAAAACAACAUGUA